ensembl:snoRNA U3 Small nucleolar RNA U3
CACACUCAGCUUCAGGGAUCCUUUCUAUAGUUCAUUACUAGAGAAGUUUCUUUGACUGUAGAGUACUGGAAAUCACGAGGAGGAGGUUCUCUCCUGAGUGUGAAACCAACUCUUAGUUUGGGUUUGCAACAACUGCCACUUGCCAUUGAUGAUUGUUCUUGCUGUCUUUCGGGUAGCUGGGGGGAGAGGACACAGUCUGAGUGGC